rnacentral:rRNA from 1 species
UACAGAGGGGGCAAGCGUUAUUCGGAAUUAUUGGGCGUAAAGGGCGCGUAGGCGGCUUGGCAAGUGGAUGGUGAAAUCCCUCGGCUUAACCGAGGAACUGCCAUCCAGACUGCUUUGCUUGAGGCCGGGAGAGGUGAGUGGAAUUCCCAGUGUAGCGGUGAAAUUCGUAGAUAUUCGGAAGAACACCAGUGGCGAAGGCGGCUCACUGGACUGGUAUUGACGCUGAGGUGCGAAAGCGUGGGGAGCAAACAGG